UUUGGAAAAGACUCCCUGAAAACUCUAGGCUCACAUCUAAAGACAAGAGUUUUUGAGUCUCAGACUGAGAUUCUUUUAGCAUUUUUUUCCUACCAUGCAAUUUUUUCCCAUCAUGCUCUUAAGGAAGUGGCCUUCACUGUCAGCAGCAGAUGUCGCCUGUCAGGCCUCAUUAACAGACGCUGAGUUCAGAUCGAUCUUCAAGCUUUGGCAGCUUUCACCUCAGUGAAGGACUCUGACAUUGAGGAUGACGCCGCUGAAGUCUUAAGUCGACAGAAAUUAAAGUAAAUCCAUCUCUGGAUGUCACUCGUAUCACCAGAGGAGCACUGUGAGAACACUGGUUAUCU